ACGUUCUCGCUUCCAUUCGGUCCUCCUUUUGUUAACGCUCUGGCAUCAUGUCUACGCCAGCUCCCGCGCAAUCCGGCGCCAUCGCGCUUUGGGCGAGCAUGGCCAUGGGGAGUAGAGAGGUGGAAACCGAGCUGACGCCUGCCUGACCCUGGCGAUGGUGGCGCGCGCCGGGAAGGACUGAUUGGAGAAUGGCGCCAAAUGGGUCACGGAUGGCGAGGGGGCACAGGAGCUCUCGAUGUGACCUGGCGCUGUGGAUGUGAUGCACAGCAGCUUGAGUGGGACUGCUCCGCUGUCCUCAUGAGAGAACGCUUUUUCUGAAGAUGGGAGGUGGCUAAUGAAAGAAGGAAUUGUGUUCUCGGUGAUGCCUGGAAGAGAUGCGUGACGUUGGAAGAUGAUUACGAAAUACAGGAAAGGUAAUUGGAGGAGUCUAGCCAGAAGGCCAGAAGCUUGGGACAUUGUCUUCAUCACUGUUAGCCACAUGCCUCUCUUGUGGGGGCAGUAACUUCGACAGGAGCUCUAGGGGUCCAGGAGACAUGAUCUAACGCCUACCAUCCCAUGUAGGUGGAAAUUACCACGCAUCAGGUACCACUGGGGUUCAAGACCUCAGCUUGACUGGAGACCAGGCUGUCUGUGCAUAGCCCAUUGUCCCACAAUACUCUGUAGAAUACUGUUAUCAGUCUGGGUUCUUUAAAGGUAC
rnacentral:lncRNA from 1 species